rnacentral:rRNA from 2 species
UACGUAGGGAGCGAGCGUUGUCCGGAAUUACUGGGUGUAAAGGGAGCGUAGGCGGGAUGGUAAGUCAGAUGUGAAAACUAUGGGCUCAACCCAUAGACUGCAUUUGAAACUGCUGUUCUUGAGUGAAGUAGAGGUAAGCGGAAUUCCUAGUGUAGCGGUGAAAUGCGUAGAUAUUAGGAGGAACAUCGGUGGCGAAGGCGGCUUACUGGGCUUUUACUGACGCUGAGGCUCGAAAGCGUGGGGAGCAAACAGG